UACAUGGGGUGCAAACGUUGCUCGGAAUUAUUGGGCGUAAAGCGCACGUAGGCGGUUUGUUAAGCCGGAUGUGAAAUCCCUCGGCUCAACUGAGGAAGUGCAUCCGAAACUGGCAGGCUUGAGUACUAAAGAGGGUCGCGGAAUUCCCGGUGUAGAGGUGAAAUUCGUAGAUAUCGGGAGGAACACCGGUGGCGAAGGCGGCGACCUGGGUAGAUACUGACGCUGAGGUGCGAAAGCGUGGGGAGCAAACAGG
rnacentral:rRNA from 1 species